rnacentral:rRNA from 1 species
GUUGACCUCGGAUCAGGUAGGAAUACCCGCUGAACUUAAGCAUAUCAAUAAGCGGAGGAAAAGAAACCAACAGGGAUUGCCUCAGUAACGGCGAGUGAAGCGGCAACAGCUCAAAUUUGAAAUCUGGCUCCUUCGGGGCCCGAGUUGUAAUUUGCAGAGGAUGUGUCGGGUACGGGUUCCCUCCGAGUUCCCUGGAACGGGACGCCAUAGAGGGUGAGAGCCCCGUCUGGUAGGACACCCAGCCCGUGUGACACUCCCUCGACGAGUCGAGUAGUUUGGGAAUGCUGCUCUAACGGGAGGUAUACUCCUUCCAAGGCUAAAUACCGGCUGGAGACCGAUAGCGCACAAGUAGAGUGAUCGAAAGAUGAAAAGUACUUUGAAAAGAGAGUCAAAUAGCACGUGAAAUUGUUAAAAGGGAAGCACUCGCUACCAGACUUGGGUUCAGCGGUUCAACCGGGGCCACGCCCCGGGGCAUUCCGCCGGCCCAGGCCAGCAUCAGCUUUCCGUCGGGGGUAAAGGCGUCGGGAAUGUGGCUCUCCUUCGGGGGAGUGUUAUAGCCCGUCGUGUCAUACCCUUCGGGGGGCUGAGGUACGCGCUUCUGCAAGGAUGCUGGCGUAAUGGUAGCUAGUGACCCGUCUUGAAACACGGACCAAGGAGUCAACCUUAUGUGCGAGUGCCCGGGCGUAAAACCCCAGCGCGGAAUGAAAGUGAACGUAGGUGAGAGCUUCGGCGCAUCACCGACCGAUCCAGAUGUCCUCGGACGGAUUUGAGUGAGAGCAUAUAGGGUUGGACCCGAAAGAAGAUGAACUAUGCGUGUGUAGGGUGAAGCCAGAGGAAACUCUGGUGGAGGCUCGCAGCGGUUCUGACGUGCAAAUCGAUCGUCAAACAUGCGCA